GGAAUUGAAAUGAACAAGAAAGGGAUUCUUGAGUUUUCUUGCAAUCCCUUUCUUAGGAUUUCAAUUCUUAAUUCUAGUUAGGUUUAUUUUAGUGGGAACACCAGAAAAAAGUUGGAUCAAGAUGACAUUUGUACAACAUGGUUUUAAAUGCAAAGAGUUUUGGAAAGAAAAAUUCAAUUUUGUCUGAUAAUUUUGUAAGUCGGUUAACUGUCUUGAACUUCAACCUUCAUGUCUUCCAAGACCGGCAUGAUUUUUCUUUGAGGCUGAGGCUGAAAUUUACAGUAACUGUAGGGGCGUUGACAUGAAAAAUUCAACAUGGAAGCUUCUUAUAUCUGAUUAAAACUUCUCAAUCAUCAGGACAAGUUUUAGUGCUUGAUCUUGAUCAGCCAAGCCAAUCAUGAGAGUUGCUAUUUGCCCUGCUUUCUAGCUAGUUCUGCAAUCCUGUGUAUUAUAUGCCCUGCACUCUUGCUAGUCCUAGGGUAAUAAUGUUGAAGAAGCGUUUUGAAAGCCAGAAUUUUUAUCAUUU
rnacentral:misc_RNA from 1 species